rnacentral:rRNA from 1 species
GCCUGUUUAUCAAAAACAUCGCCUCUUGCAAAACUUAUGAAUAAGAGGUCCCGCCUGCCCUGUGACUAUAUGUUUAACGGCCGCGGUAUCUUAACCGUGCGAAGGUAGCGCAAUCACUUGUCUUUUAAAUGGAGACCUGUAUGAAUGGCAUCACGAGGGCUUGACUGUCUCCUUUCCCUGGUCAAUGAAAUUGAUCUCCCCGUGCAGAAGCGGGGAUGCGCACAUAAGACGAGAAGACCCUAUGAAGCUUUAGACACAAGGGAGACUACCUUAAUUACCCCUGGAUAAAGGGCAAAAGCUAAAGGUAGCCCUCCCCAGCGUCUUUGGUUGGGGCGACCGCGGGGUAAAACAAAACCCCCAUGUGGAAUAGGAGCACCCCUCCUUCAACCAAGAGCUCCCGCUCUAAGGAACAGAACUUUUGACCAAUCAAUGAUCCGGCAUCGCCGAUCAACGAACCGAGUUACCCUAGGGAUAACAGCGCAAUCCCCUUUUAGAGCCCUUAUCGACAAGGGGGUUUACGACCUCGAUGUUGGAUCAGGACAUCCUAAUGGUGCAGCCGCUAUUAAGGGUCGU